UAAAGAAGAAAAUGCCACACAAUCAUCCCAACAGAUGCAGAAAGAACUUUUGACAAAGUUUAGUAUCCAUUCAUAAUAAAAACUCCCAGCAAAUUAGGAACAGAAGGGAACUUCCUUAACCUGAUGACGGGAAGUCACAUAAAAUCCUACAACAAACCUCAAACUUAAUAGUCGAAGACUGACUGCUUUUUUUCUAAGAUUGGGAACAAGGCAAGAAUGCUGGCUGUCACCUCUCCUUUUCAGUAUUGUACUGGAAAUCCUGGCCAGUGCAAUAAGGCAAGAAAAUGAAAUAAAAGGCAUACAGAAUGAAAAAGAAGAAAUAAAACUCUCUCUACUCAUAGAUGACACAAUUGUUGAUGUAAAAAAUCCCAUGGAAUGUACAAAAGAAAUCUAGAAAUAGCAGUAAGUUUAAAACAUUUAUGAGAUCAACAUACAAAAAACUAUUUCUGUAUACAAUUGGGAAUGAAAUUUUAAAACAAACAGUACUAUUUACAGUAGCAAUGAAACAAAUGAAAUAUGUAUAAAUCUACGAAAGUAAUGUGCAGGAUUUUUAUGCUGAAAACCACAAAAUGAAAGAAAAUUUAAAAGUCUAAAUAGAGACAUACACUGAGUUCAUGGGUUGGAAGACUCAAUAUUGUUAAGAUGUCAGUCCCCUGCAAAUUGACCUAUAGAUUCAUUGCAGUCCCAACAGGAAUUUCUUAGAUAUCAAGAGUCUGAUUUGAAUAUGUGGAAAUGCAAAGGAAUUGGGAUAGCUAAAACAACCUUGAAAGAGAAGAAUAAACUUGGAGGACUCACUCAUACUAUCUGGUCUUAAGACUUACUACAAAGCUAUAGUAAUCAAGACAGCAUGGCAUUGGUCAAAGAAUAGACACAUAGAUCAAUGAAUCACAAUAGAGUUCAGAAAUAGACCCAUACAAAUAUAGUUGAAUUGACAAAAGUGCAAAGACACUUCAAUCGUCUUCAAUAAAUGGUGCAACAACUGGACAGCCAUGUUUUAGAAAAUGAACCUUUACCUAUACCUGUCAUUUUAUACACAACUCAAAACCAAAUAUAGACCUAAAUGAAAAAUUUUGAAACUUUUAGAAGAAAUCAGGAAAUAAAUCAUUGUGACCUUGUGUUAAGCAGAAUUCUUAGCUACAACACCAGAAGCAUAAUUUAUAAAGUUAAAAAUUGAUAAAUUGAACUAUAUCAAAAGUAGAAACUUAUUUUGUGAAAUUAAGAAAAUAAAAAGACAAGCCAAAACUGGGGAGAAAAUACUUGCAAAUUAUAUAUCUGACAAAGGACUUGUAUCCAGAAUAUAUAAAGAAUCCUCAAAACAAGAAAAAAGUCAACACAAUUAAAAAAAAAAUAGAGAUUUGAAAAGACAUUUGACCAAAGUAGAUAUACAAAUGACAGAUAAGCAAGUGAAACUAUGCUCAGCCUCAUUAGUUGUUAGGGAAAUGCACAUUAAAACCACAGUGAGACACAACUAGACACCUAUUAAAGUGGCUUAAAAACAACCAACCAGACAAACAAAAACCUGAACAAACACAACCUGACAAUAACCACAUGUUGGUGAGGCUGCAGAGCAACUGGAAUGCUCGUAUGUUGUGGUGGGAGCACAGAUGCUGCCACCACUGUGGAAAACAGUUUGGUAGUUUCUUAUAAAGUUCAACAUGUACUUAUCAUACAGCAUCCCAGUCUCACGCCUAGGUAUUUACCGAAGAGAAAUUAAAAAUCUUUGUUUAUACAAAAACUUGUACAUGAAUAUUUAUAUCAACAACUUUAUUUGUAAACAAGACAAAAAUUUAAAAACUGGAAACAAUUAAAAUGUCCUUCACCUGGAUAUGGAUGGGCCAGUGUGGUAAUCCAUGCACCGCUUCUGCUCCACAGCGGGAAGGAACGGCUGCUGAAGAAGCCACAGCAGACGCGUGAGUCUCAGAUGCGUGCUGCUGACUGGAAGAAGCCAGACUCUGAAGGCUGCAUAUGGUUUGCUUUAUUUAUGUGACAUUCUGGAAAAGGCAGAACUACAGGGAAAGGGUUUUGUCAGGACUUAGGGGAUGUUUCCGUGACAUUGGGGUAGCACAGGGAAUCUUGGGGAGGGUGUUGGAACUGUUGUGUAUCUUGGUUGUGGUGGUAGUUACACAACUCUACACAUGUGUCAAAACUCAGAAUUGUGCACCCAAAACAGUGAAUUUUACUCUGUAAAUUUAUAGCUAAAAACUUUUAAGGUAAUAAAUACUCAGAAUGUAUCCUUUCCUAACAUUUGACUGUUGCCUGUGUUCCUGAGGUUACUUAGAUCUAUCGCGUCUGGUGGUGGAAACACUAACUGCGCCACCCGCGCUUCUCUUCCCAGCUCCACUGUCCGGACACCAUGUGGGCGGCUGGAAAUCUGACAUGCAAACCACUGCUUAGGAGUCACUGGAGGCAAGGAACGGAAGAGGACCGAGGUCAGAGGCCUGGACCAACUCAACAUUUGAGAUCAAGAGGAAGAGCUGGCAAAGGAGACAAGGAGCAGGCUUUUAGAUUCAUGGUUCUUAUGUACUGCCACCACAUCUGCUGAGUUCCAGAAUGAUGCACUGCUCAAGUUUAGCAAAUGAUAAGAAAGAAGCUGUUAAAACAUCUGAAAUGCAGUUACUCACCCUUAUC